CUCUACUCAUUAUGGAUAGUCUUUCUUGUGCACUGUAGUUCUGGAAUAUAAAUCUGCCCUUCCCCAGGCAGGGGGGGAAACAAGGGACAGAAAUUCAGAUGAUGAAGCAAUAUUCUGUUUUCCUAACUCACUUUUUCUAAAGAGUACUUCCUGUUUCCCUGUGAUCAGAGGAAUGUCUUCAAUUGAAGUACUUCAUGACUCCAGCUUUGGAUUGCUGUGGGAAGAGAAAUAGAUUCAUGGAGUUGCUACCAAUAAAUUAAUUCAUUCA